GAUGAACGCUGGCGGCGUGCCUAAUACAUGCAAGUCGAGCGAACGGACGAGAAGCUUGCUUCUCUGAUGUUAGCGGCGGACGGGUGAGUAACACGUGUAUCACCUACCUAUAAUACUGGGAUAACUUCGGGAAACCGGAGCUAAUACCGGAGAAUAUUUUGAACCGCAUGGUGCAAAAGUGAAAGACGGUCUUGCUGUCACUUAUAGAGGGAUCCGCGCUGCAUUAGCGAGUUGGUAAGGUAACGGCUUACCAAGGGAACGAUGCAUAGCCGACCUGAGGGGGUGAUCGGCCACACUGGAACUGAGACACGGUCCAGACUCCUACGGGAGGCCGCAGUAGGGAAUCUUCCGCAAUGGGCGAAAGCCUGACGGAGCAACGCCGCGUGAGUGAUGACGGUCUUCGGAUCGUAAAACUCUGUUAUUAGGGAAGAACAUAUGUGUAAGUAACUGUGCACAUCUUGACGGUACCUAAUCAGAAAGCCACGGCUAACUACGUG
rnacentral:rRNA from 1 species